GACGAACGCUGGCGGCGUGCCUAAUACAUGCAAGUAGAACGCUGAAGGGGGAGCUUGCUUCUCCGGAUGAGUUGCGAACGGGUGAGUAACGCGUAGGUAACCUGCCUGGUAGCGGGGGAUAACUAUUGGAAACGAUAGCUAAUACCGCAUAAUAGUAGAUGUUGCAUGACAUUUGCUUAAAAGGUGCAAUUGCACCACUACCAGAUGGACCUGCGUUGUAUUAGCUAGUUGGUGGGGUAACGGCUCACCAAGGCGACGAUACAUAGCCGACCUGAGAGGGUGAUCGGCCACACUGGGACUGAGACACGGCCCAGACUCCUACGGGAGGCAGCAGUAGGGAAUCUUCGGCAAUGGACGGAAGUCUGACCGAGCAACGCCGCGUGAGUGAAGAAGGUUUUCGGAUCGUAAAGCUCUGUUGUAAGAGAAGAACGAGUGUGAGAGUGGAAAGUUCACACUGUGACGGUAUCUUACCAGAAAGAGACGGCUAACUACGUG
rnacentral:rRNA from 1 species